CAGCAGCCGCGGGAAUACGUAGGUGGCGAGCGUUGUCCGGAAUCAUUGGGCGUAAAGGGAGCGCAGGCGGGCGUGUAAGUCUUUCUUAAAAGUGCGGGGCUCAACCCCGUGAUGGGAAAGAAACUACAUGUCUUGAGUACAGGAGAGAAAAGCGGAAUUCCCAGUGUGGCGGUGAAAUGCGUAGAUAUUGGGAGGAACACCAGUGGCGAAGGCGGCUUUCUGGACUGCAACUGACGCUGAGGCUCGAAAGCCAGGGGAGCGAACGGGAUUAGAUACCCGGGUAGUCCCUGUCUCUUAUACA
rnacentral:rRNA from 1 species